AGGUCACUGAAUGCAGCCAAGUCCUAUGGAAGAACCACCCUCACUUUUAUGGGGUUUGGAUCCGCUGUUCCUAGCCCAUGCCAGGUUGUACAUCAAGGAUAUUUUAGAAAUAAAGGAGUCUAAUCAAGUACCUGGUAUAUUUUUUUACAAAGGCCAUCCCAUCAAACAGGUCGAUAUCUUAGGAACUGUUGUGUGUGUAAGGGAAAAGGAUGCCUUUUACAGUUAUGGAGUGGAUGAUAGCACUGGAGUUAUCAACUGUACUUGCUGGAAGUCCUCUGCAACCAAAGACCGGCCUUCAGGU